rnacentral:rRNA from 1 species
GGGUUGUGAGGUUAAGCGACUAAGCGUACACGGUGGAUGCCCUGGCAGUCAGAGGCGAUGAAGGACGUGCUAAUCUGCGAUAAGCGUCGGUAAGGUGAUAUGAACCGUUAUAACCGGCGAUUUCCGAAUGGGGAAACCCAGUGUGUUUCGACACACUAUCAUUAACUGAAUCCAUAGGUUAAUGAGGCGAACCGGGGGAACUGAAACAUCUAAGUACCCCGAGGAAAAGAAAUCAACCGAGAUUCCCCCAGUAGCGGCGAGCGAACGGGGAGCAGCCCAGAGCCUGAAUCAGUGUGUGUGUUAGUGGAAGCGUCUGGAAAGGCGCGCGAUACAGGGUGACAGCCCCGUACACAAAAAUGCACAUGCUGUGAGCUCGAUGAGUAGGGCGGGACACGUGGUAUCCUGUCUGAAUAUGGGGGGACCAUCCUCCAAGGCUAAAUACUCCUGACUGACCGAUAGUGAACCAGUACCGUGAGGGAAAGGCGAAAAGAACCCCGGCGAGGGGAGUGAAAAAGAACCUGAAACCGUGUACGUACAAGCAGUGGGAGCACGCUUAGGCGUGUGACUGCGUACCUUUUGUAUAAUGGGUCAGCGACUUAUAUUCUGUAGCAAGGUUAACCGAAUAGGGGAGCCGAAGGGAAACCGAGUCUUAACUGGGCGUUAAGUUGCAGGGUAUAGACCCGAAACCCGGUGAUCUAGCCAUGGGCAGGUUGAAGGUUGGGUAACACUAACUGGAGGACCGAACCGACUAAUGUUGAAAAAUUAGCGGAUGACUUGUGGCUGGGGGUGAAAGGCCAAUCAAACCGGGAGAUAGCUGGUUCUCCCCGAAAGCUAUUUAGGUAGCGCCUCGUGAAUUCAUCUCCGGGGGUAGAGCACUGUUUCGGCAAGGGGGUCAUCCCGACUUACCAACCCGAUGCAAACUGCGAAUACCGGAGAAUGUUAUCACGGGAGACACACGGCGGGUGCUAACGUCCGUCGUGAAGAGGGAAACAACCCAGACCGCCAGCUAAGGUCCCAAAGUCAUGGUUAAGUGGGAAACGAUGUGGGAAGGCCCAGACAGCCAGGAUGUUGGCUUAGAAGCAGCCAUCAUUUAAAGAAAGCGUAAUAGCUCACUGGUCGAGUCGGCCUGCGCGGAAGAUGUAACGGGGCUAAACCAUGCACCGAAGCUGCGGCAGCGACGCUUAUGCGUUGUUGGGUAGGGGAGCGUUCUGUAAGCCUGUGAAGGUGUGCUGUGAGGCAUGCUGGAGGUAUCAGAAGUGCGAAUGCUGACAUAAGUAACGAUAAAGCGGGUGAAAAGCCCGCUCGCCGGAAGACCAAGGGUUCCUGUCCAACGUUAAUCGGGGCAGGGUGAGUCGACCCCUAAGGCGAGGCCGAAAGGCGUAGUCGAUGGGAAACAGGUUAAUAUUCCUGUACUUGGUGUUACUGCGAAGGGGGGACGGAGAAGGCUAUGUUGGCCGGGCGACGGUUGUCCCGGUUUAAGCGUGUAGGCUGGUUUUCCAGGCAAAUCCGGAAAAUCAAGGCUGAGGCGUGAUGACGAGGCACUACGGUGCUGAAGCAACAAAUGCCCUGCUUCCAGGAAAAGCCUCUAAGCAUCAGGUAACAUCAAAUCGUACCCCAAACCGACACAGGUGGUCAGGUAGAGAAUACCAAGGCGCUUGAGAGAACUCGGGUGAAGGAACUAGGCAAAAUGGUGCCGUAACUUCGGGAGAAGGCACGCUGAUAUGUAGGUGAAGCGACUUGCUCGUGGAGCUGAAAUCAGUCGAAGAUACCAGCUGGCUGCAACUGUUUAUUAAAAACACAGCACUGUGCAAACACGAAAGUGGACGUAUACGGUGUGACGCCUGCCCGGUGCCGGAAGGUUAAUUGAUGGGGUCAGCGCAAGCGAAGCUCUUGAUCGAAGCCCCGGUAAACGGCGGCCGUAACUAUAACGGUCCUAAGGUAGCGAAAUUCCUUGUCGGGUAAGUUCCGACCUGCACGAAUGGCGUAAUGAUGGCCAGGCUGUCUCCACCCGAGACUCAGUGAAAUUGAACUCGCUGUGAAGAUGCAGUGUACCCGCGGCAAGACGGAAAGACCCCGUGAACCUUUACUAUAGCUUGACACUGAACAUUGAGCCUUGAUGUGUAGGAUAGGUGGGAGGCUUUGAAGUGUGGACGCCAGUCUGCAUGGAGCCGACCUUGAAAUACCACCCUUUAAUGUUUGAUGUUCUAACGUUGACCCGUAAUCCGGGUUGCGGACAGUGUCUGGUGGGUAGUUUGACUGGGGCGGUCUCCUCCUAAAGAGUAACGGAGGAGCACGAAGGUUGGCUAAUCCUGGUCGGACAUCAGGAGGUUAGUGCAAUGGCAUAAGCCAGCUUGACUGCGAGCGUGACGGCGCGAGCAGGUGCGAAAGCAGGUCAUAGUGAUCCGGUGGUUCUGAAUGGAAGGGCCAUCGCUCAACGGAUAAAAGGUACUCCGGGGAUAACAGGCUGAUACCGCCCAAGAGUUCAUAUCGACGGCGGUGUUUGGCACCUCGAUGUCGGCUCAUCACAUCCUGGGGCUGAAGUAGGUCCCAAGGGUAUGGCUGUUCGCCAUUUAAAGUGGUACGCGAGCUGGGUUUAGAACGUCGUGAGACAGUUCGGUCCCUAUCUGCCGUGGGCGCUGGAGAACUGAGGGGGGCUGCUCCUAGUACGAGAGGACCGGAGUGGACGCAUCACUGGUGUUCGGGUUGUCAUGCCAAUGGCAUUGCCCGGUAGCUAAAUGCGGAAGAGAUAAGUGCUGAAAGCAUCUAAGCACGAAACUUGCCCCGAGAUGAGUUCUCCCUGACCCUUUAAGGGUCCUGAAGGAACGUUGAAGACGACGACGUUGAUAGGCCGGGUGUGUAAGCGCAGCGAUGCGUUGAGCUAACCGGUACUAAUGAACCGUGAGGCUUAACCUUACAACGCCGAAG